UCAUGUACAUGCCUACAAAAUUAAUGCACCAAAUCCCAUUAGAACUCCACAAUUAAGCAGACUUGGGCUAGAGUAGUACUGGGAUGGGUGACCUCCCAGGAAGUCCUAGUGUUUUACAUGCC
rfam:Picea glauca, whole genome shotgun sequence.